UACGUAGGGUCCGAGCGUUGUCCGGAAUUAUUGGGCGUAAAGAGCUCGUAGGCGAUUUGUCGCGUCUGCUGUGAAAUCCCGAGGCUCAACCUCGGGCCUGCAGUGGGUACGGGCAGACUGGAGUGCGGUAGGGGAGAAUGGAAUUCCUGGUGUAGCGGUGGAAUGCGCAGAUAUCAGGAGGAACACCGAUGGCGAAGGCAGUUCUCUGGGCCGUAACUGACGCUGAGGAGCGAAAGCGUGGGGAGCGAACAGG
rnacentral:rRNA from 1 species